rnacentral:piRNA from 1 species
UGGAAAAGAAAGGUGUAGGAGGGGCAAG